rnacentral:rRNA from 1 species
UACGUAGGGUGCAGGCGUUGUCCGGAAUUAUUGGGCGUAAAGAGCUCGUAGGCGGUCUGUCACGUCGGCUGUGAAAUCCCGAGGCUCAACCUCGGGUCUGCAGUCGAUACGGGCAAACUAGAGUAUUGCAGGGGAGACUGGAAUUCCUGGUGUAGCGGUGAAAUGCGCAGAUAUCAGGAGGAACACCGGUGGCGAAGGCGGGUCUCUGGGCAAUAACUGACGCUGAGGAGCGAAAGCGUGGGGAGCGAACAGG